CGUCGACAAGGGUAACUCUGUUGGUUAUUAAGCAAAAGUCAGCAAAGGGCAUAGUAGCCAAACGCUCAUCGUAAUGGUUGGGACAUGAUGAGGGCC
rfam:Pseudoalteromonas atlantica T6c, complete genome.